GCAGACACAUUCCAGCCAAUCAGCAGCAGACCCUCCCUCCCAGACCCUCCCACCUCCUGGACAGCAUCCAUUUUACAUUCAUUGUGAAGCUGCAUUCUUAGUGAGCUGUCCAGGAGUUGGGAGGGUCUGGGAGGGAGGGUCUGCUGCUGAUUGGCUGGAAUGUGUCUG